AAAGGUCUUUGUGGAGCUGAUGGUCCUAAAACGUUGUCAGAAAGCAGACAGGACGAGAGCAAAGAAGCUCAGGGAUGAGUUCAAAGCCCCCUGAGUGUUAAAAUCACCUUUGGCAGCAAUUACAUCUGUGAGUAUUUCUGGGUUAUUGUCCUGCUGAAAGGUGAAUUUGUCUCCUGAUGUCUGUUGGAUAGCAGACUCAACCAGGUUUUCAUCUAGGAUUUCAUCUGUGCUUAAAGCUGCAUUCCAUUUACUUUUAUCCCUAUUCUUUUACAAUGAGAAUGAUACCCAUAGCAUGAUGCAGCCACCACCAGGCUUGACAAUAUGAAGAGGGAUAUACAGUUAUGUGUUGUAAUGGAUUUGCCACAAACAUAAUGCUUUGUACUUGUACUUUCUAUUUCAUUUAUUUGCCACAUUUUUUGCAGUUUUACAUUAGUGCCUUAUUGCGAACAGAAUGCAUGUUUUGGAAUAUUUUGUAUUCUGUACAGGCUUCCUUCUUUUCACUCUGUCAUUUAGGUUAGUAUUGUGGAGUAACUACAAUGUUGUUGAUCCAUCCUCAGUUUUCUCCUAUCACAGCAAUUCAACUCUGUAAUGGUUUUAAAUUCACAUUUGGCAUCAUGGUAAAAUCACUGAAUGGUUUCCUUCCUCUCUGGCAAUUGAGUUAGGAAAUUACGCCUGUAUUGUAGUGACUGGGUGUCUUAAACUUUGUUGGAACUUUGAAAGUGGCGAACAAACCCCUUUCCCGCCUGUGACAGGCUUUGUA